rnacentral:precursor_RNA from 15 species
AAUAGCUAAAGAGAAUGAUAGGGAAAUUGCUAAAUAUUUUUUUUGUAUAAAUAACUUUUAACUUUUGUACAAUACGAAUAUUUAGGCAUUUCUCAAAUCAAAGAUUUGCAAGCCAA